CAGUAGCCGCGGGAAUACGGAGGGUGCAAGCGUUAUCCGGAUUUAUUGGGUUUAAAGGGUCCGUAGGCGGAUCUGUAAGUCAGUGGUGAAAUCUCACAGCUUAACUGUGAAACUGCCAUUGAUACUGCAGGUCUUGAGUAAAUUUGAAGUGGCUGGAAUAAGUAGUGUAGCGGUGAAAUGCAUAGAUAUUACUUAGAACACCAAUUGCGAAGGCAGGUCACUAAGAUUAAACUAACGCUGAUGGACGAAAGCGUGGGGAGCGAACAGGAUUAGAUACCCCUGUAGUCCCUGUCUCUUAUAC
rnacentral:rRNA from 1 species